UACGGAGGGGGCUAGCGUUGUUCGGAAUUACUGGGCGUAAAGCGAACGUAGGCGGCUUUGUAAGUUAGAGGUGAAAGCCCAGGGCUUAACCCCUGGAAUUGCCUUUAAGACUGCAUCGCUAGAAUCGUGGAGAGGUAAGUGGAAUUCCGAGUGUAGAGGUGAAAUUCGUAGAUAUUCGGAAGAACACCAGUGGCGAAGGCGACUUACUGGACACGUAUUGACGCUGAGGUGCGAAAGCGUGGGAGCAAACAGG
rnacentral:rRNA from 1 species